GAUCCGGUGGCGGAUGGUCUGCGCCUGCAUUUGAUAAAUUGACUGAACAAUUUGUGCAGGAGCGCUCGUUCGAAUCGAGGCUGGGUCG